rnacentral:rRNA from 1 species
GAUGAACGCUGGCGGCGUGCUUAACACAUGCAAGUCGAACGGAAAGGCCCAAGCUUGCUUGGGUACUCGAGUGGCGAACGGGUGAGUAACACGUGGGUGAUCUGCCCUGCACUUCGGGAUAAGCCUGGGAAACUGGGUCUAAUACCGGAUAGGACCACAUUUUGGAUGGUGUGGUGGAAAGUUUUUCGGUGUGGGAUGAGCUCGCGGCCUAUCAGCUUGUUGGUGGGGUAAUGGCCUACCAAGGCGUCGACGGGUAGCCGGCCGGAGGGGGUGUACGGCCACAUUGGGACUGAGAUACGGCCCAGACUCCUACGGGAGGCAGCAGUGGGGAAUAUUGCACAAUGGGCGCAAGCCUGAUGCAGCGACGCCGCGUGGGGGAUGACGGCCUUCGGGUUGUAAACUCCUUUCGCUAGGGACGAAGCGUUAUGUGACGGUACCUGGAGAAGAAGCACCGGCUAACUACGUG